rnacentral:rRNA from 1 species
CCUACGGGUGGCAGCAGUAGGGAAUAUUGCUCAAUGGGGGAAACCCUGAAGCAGCAACGCCGCGUGGAGGAUGAAGGUUUUCGGAUUGUAAACUCCUUUUGUUAGAGAAGAUAAUGACGGUAUCUAACGAAUAAGCACCGGCUAACUCCGUGCCAGCAGCCGCGGGAAUACGGAGGGUGCAAGCGUGACUCGGAAUCACUGGGCGUAAAGAGCGUGUAGGCGGGUUAGCAAGUCAGAUGUGAAAUCCUAUGGCUUAACCAUAGAACUGCAUUUGAAACUGUUAUACUAGAGUACGGGAGAGGUAGGUGGAAUUCUUGGUGUAGGGGUGAAAUGCGUAGAGAUCAAGAGGAAUACUGAUGGCGAAGGCGACCUGCUAGAAUGUAACUGACGCUGAUGCGCGAAAGCGUGGGGAGCAAACAGGAUUAGAUACCCCUGUAGUC